rnacentral:rRNA from 1 species
UGGAGAGUUUGAUCCUGGCUCAGGAUGAACGCUAGCGGCAGGCCUAAUACAUGCAAGUCGAACGGUGUAGCAAUACACAGUGGCGCACGGGUGCGUAACACGUAUGCAACCUACCUAUUAUUGGGGGAUAGCCUUUGGAAACGGAGAUUAAUACCGCAUAAGACAGUAACAUGGCAUCAUGUAGCUGUUAAAGCUUUGGCGAUGAUAGAUGGGCAUGCGUCCAAUUAGUUAGUUGGUGAGGUAAUGGCUCACCAAGACGAUGAUUGGUAGGGGAUCUGAGAGGAUAAUCCCCCACACUGGCACUGAGAUACGGGCCAGACUCCUACGGGAGGCAGCAGUAGGGAAUAUUGGGCAAUGGACGGAAGUCUGACCCAGCCAUGCCGCGUGCAGGAUGAAGGCGUUAUGCGUUGUAAACUGCUUUUUUAUAGGAAGAAGGAGACCUUGCGAGGUUUGGUGACGGUACUAUAAGAAUAAGCACCGGCUAACUCCGUGCCAGCAGCCGCGGUA